rnacentral:rRNA from 1 species
CAACUUUCAACAACGGAUCUCUCGGCUCUCACAUCGAUGAAGAACGCAGCGAAAUGCGAUAAGUAAUGUGAAUUGCAGAAUUCAGUGAAUCAUCGAAUCUUUGAACGCAAAUUGCGCCCUUUGGUAUUCCGAAGGGCAUGCCUGUUUGAGUGUCUU